GGUCCAUGAGAGAAGGAGCUCCUUUAAACUGUUCUUGCUUUUUCAUCCUCUUCCUUUUCUUUCACUCAGAAUAAAGACACUCUCCAAAAGCUCCAUGCUGAGAGAAAGAAAGAAAGAAAACAACAACAACAACGAAGGAUCUCAUCUAGAGACCACUGUUAGAAAUAAGUCAUUCGUAACCUGGAUCAGAGACAGCAGAUACUUUCAAAUAAGAUGCAAGUCACGAGGUCCAGCCCACACUCAAGGGUAAAGGAAUUAAGCUCUACUUUCUGGAGGCAGAGAUAUCAAAGAAAUUGUGGACAUAUGUUAAAACCACCCACUAAGUCAGAGUCUUGUUCUGUCACCCAGGCUGAAGUGCAGUGGCAUGAUCCUAGUUCACUGCAGCAUCGAACUCCUGGCCUCAAGCGAUC